UGAAACUCUAGAAGCCUGCAGUCUGGAAAGGACAGAGUGGAGACUGAGAACACUGUGAAGUGUGCACCACUAAAAAUGUCGUCCUCCACGUCCACGAUGACAAAGGUUAUGGUGGCCAUGCUCUUGGUUCUCGUGAUCACGUCGGCCUCCGCCACCCGUGCCGCGGCGCGGGCGUUUCCAGGAGCCCAGCAUGCCUCGUCCGGCGUCCCCACCAACAACGAUGCGUUACCGUCGCCACCGCCGAUGAGGUCGUCGUCGUCGCUUUGGCGAGGCCUGCACAGGCUGCUGCUGUCAGCGGAGGAGGAGAAGUCAGG
rnacentral:lncRNA from 1 species